AUUGAACGCUGGCGGCAUGCCUAACACAUGCAAGUCGAGCGAGCGGCGGACGGGUGAGUAGUGUAUGGAGACUGCCUGAUAGAGGGGGAUAACUACUGGAAACGGUGGCUAAUACCGCAUACUAUCCGAUGACCCAUAUGGGAUUAGCUAGUAGGUGGGGUAAAGGCUCACCUAGGCGACGAGCUCUAGCUGGUCUGAGAGGAUGAUCAGCCACACUGGGACUGAGACACGGCCCAGACUCCUACGGAGGCAGCAGUGGGGAAUAUUGCACAAUGGACGCAAGCCUGAUGCAGCCAUGCCGCGUGUAUGAAGAAGGCCUUAGGAUUGUAAAGUACUGUCAGCGGGGAGGCGGUACCCGCAGAAGAAGCCCCGGCUAACUACGUGCCAGCAGCCGCGGUAAUAC
rnacentral:rRNA from 1 species